rnacentral:tRNA from 1 species
GGCCUUGUAGCUCAGCUGGUAGAGCGUGCACUGUACAAGAAGCGUACGCGGAGUCCAUGCGUGUGUUCGAAUCCCACUGAGGCUA